ensembl:lncRNA
GGGAUGGACCCAACCCGUUGUAGCUGUGUGACCUUGGGCACAAUACUCAGCCUCUCUGGCCUCAGUGUCUUUAACCGUACAAUGAGGAUAACAGUGUCUACCCUAUGGGAUUGCUGUGAUGAUUAAAUGAAAGGCUAUCUGUAAAGCUCAUUGGAGGAUACUCAGCAGAUGUCAAUGCUCUAUAAAGAGCAACUAGAGAAUGUGGCAAGAUACCGCCCAGGUGCAUCAGAGACCUGUAUGGGCAGGCUCAAAGGGACAGAGGUUCCAUGGUCUCCCAAGAGGAAGGAUGAAUCUGGUAACCCUGUUACUUUUGAUUGGACUUUGGAAACCUGCUCUUCAGUAGUGAACUAAAAGGUUGUGAGGCCUGUGCUCCGGAAUCCGCAUAAGGGGUAA